rnacentral:lncRNA from 1 species
AUCAAUACUCGGAGGUUGAAGUAUCUCGAAAAAGUCAUAAACCUUUCUAUAAGUAGAGGUUGAAGUUUGAAUCUUUCUAUUAAAUUUUAUUAAUGUCACGGGUCAUUGAAAGCUCAACUAUAAAAUUCGAUGUGACUGAGCCAUCUACCAAUAGGGUGAUUCACGGGUCCUUGAAGGCUCUACUAUAAAAUUCGAUAUGACCGAGUCAUCCACUUAUGAAAGGAAAGAUAGUCGACAACAAUUGUUCACAAGAAGCUAUUGUUUGGGAGUCAUAUUUUGCU